GACGAACGCUGGCGGCGUGCUUAACACAUGCAAGUCGAACGGUAAGGCCCUUCGGGGUACACGAGUGGCGAACGGGUGAGUAACACGUGGGUGAUCUGCCCUGCACUUCGGGAUAAGCCUGGGAAACUGGGUCUAAUACCGGAUAGGACCACUGCCUGCAUGGGUGGUGGUGGAAAGCUUUUGCGGUGUGGGAUGGGCCCGUGGCCUAUCAGCUUGUGGGUGGGGUGAUGGCCUACCAAGGCGACGACGGGUAGCCGGCCUGAGAGGGUGACCGGCAACACUGGGACUGAGAUACGGCCCAGACUCCUACGGGAGGCAGCAGUGGGGAAUAUUGCACAAUGGGCGCAAGCCUGAUGCAGCGACGCCGCGUGAGGGAUGACGGCCUUCGGGUUGUAAACCUCUUUCAGCACCGACGAAGCGCAAGUGACGGUAGGUGCAGAAGAAGGACCGGCCAACUACGUGCCAGCCGCCGCCGUAA
rnacentral:rRNA from 1 species